rnacentral:misc_RNA from 1 species
GAUGAAGAACGCAGCGAAAUGCGAUAAGUAGUGUGAAUUGCAGAAUUCAGUGAAUCAUCGAAUCUUUGAACGCACAUUGCGCCCUUUGGUAUUCCUUAGGGCAUGCCUGUUCGAGCGUCAUUUAAACCUUCAAGCUAAGCUUGGUGUUGGGUGACUGUCCGCUUCACGGCGGACUCGCCUCAAAAUUAUUGGCGGCCGGUACAUUGGCUUCGAGCGCAGCAGAAACGCGAACUCGGGCCCGUCGUAUUGGCUCCCAGAAGCUAUCUUCACAACUUUGACCUCGGAUCAGGUAGGGAUACCCGCUGAACUUAAGCAUAUCAAUAAGCGGAGGA